GACGAACGCUGGCGGCGUGCUUAACACAUGCAAGUCGAGCGGAAAGACCCUGCUUUUGUGGGGUGCUCGAGUGGGGCACGGGUGUGUAACACGUGAGUAACCUGCACCUGUCUGUGGGGUAACUUCAGGAAACAGGGGCUAAUACCGGGUAGGAGCUCUUGCAGCACGGUGGUGGUUGGAAAGAUUCGGCCGUUGGGGAUGGAUUCGCGGAUUACGGGCUUGUUGGGGGGGUAGUGGUUUACAAAGGCUUUGACGGGUAGCCGGCCUGAGAGGGUGGCCGGGGACAUGGGUCCUGAGGGACGGACCAGUCUGCUACGGGAGGCAGUAGUGGGGAAUAUUGCGCAAUGGGGGGAAGUGUGUUGCGGCGGCGCUCCGUGCGGGAUGCCGGCUUUCGGGUGGUAAACAGCUUUCGCCUGUGACGAAGCGGGAGUGACGGUAAUGGGUAAAGAAGCACCGGCUAACUACGUG
rnacentral:rRNA from 1 species